GAUGAACGCUGGCGGCGUGCUUAACACAUGCAAGUCGAACGGAAAGGCCCAAGCUUGCUUGGGUACUCGAGUGGCGAACGGGUGAGUAACACGUGGGUGAUCUGCCCUGCACUUCGGGAUAAGCCUGGGAAACUGGGUCUAAUACCGGAUAGGACCACAUUUUGGAUGGUGUGGUGGAAAGUUUUUCGGUGUGGGAUGAGCUCGCGGCCUAUCAGCUUGUUGGUGGGGUAAUGGCCUACCAAGGCGUCGACGGGUAGCCGGCCUGAGAGGGUGUACGGCCACAUUGGGACUGAGAUACGGCCCAGACUCCUACGGGAGGCAGCAGUGGGGAAUAUUGCACAAUGGGCGAAAGCCUGAUGCAGCGACGCCGAGUGGGGGAUGACGGCCUUCGGGUUGUAAACUCCUUUCGCUAGGGACGAAGCGAAAGUGACGGUACCUGGAGAAGAAGCACCGGCUAACUACGUG
rnacentral:rRNA from 1 species